CAAGUCGAGCGAGAAAGUUUCUUCGGAAAUGAGUAAAGCGGCGAACGGGUGAGUAAUACACAAGAAUCUAUCCCUUAGUGUGGAAUACCUUCGAGAAAUCGAAGUUAAUACCGCAUGAGUCUGAAAAGAGAAAGGCGGCUUUAUGCUGUCGCUAAAGGAGGAGCUUGUGAACUAUCAGCUAGUUGGUGGGGUAAAGGCCUACCAAGGCUAUGACGGUUAACCGGCCUGAGAGGGUGUACGGUCACAUUGGAACUGAGAUACGGUCCAGACUCCUACGGGAGGCAGCAGUGGGGAAUAUUGCGCAAUGGGCGAAAGCCUGACGCAGCGACGCCGCGUGGAGGAUGAAGGUCUUCGGAUUGUAAACUCCUGUCAGGUGGGAAGAAAGGCUUUUUUUUAAUAGAAAGAAGUUAUGACGGUACCAUCAGAGGAAGCACUGGCUAAUCUCGUGCCAGCAGCCGCGGUAAUACGAGAGGUGCAAGCGUUAUUCGGAAUUAUUGGGCGUAAAGGGCGCGUAGGCGGUUUGUUAAGUUUGUUGUUAAAGCCUCUGGCUUAACCAGAGAUCAGCAAUAAAAACUGGCAAACUAGAGUGUGAGAGAGAGAAGUGGAAUUCCCGGAGUAGCGGUAAAAUGCGUAGAUCUCGGGAGGAACACCAAUGGCGAAGGCUGCUUCUUGGUUCACAACUGACGCUGAGGCGCGAAAGCGUGGGGAGCAAACAGGAUUAGAUACCCUGGUAGUCCACGCUGUAACGAUAAUCACUAGAUGUUAGUUCUGAUUUUUCGGAUUAGUGUCGUAGCUAACGCGUUAAGUGAUUCGCCUGGGGAUUACGGUCGCAAGACUAAAACUCAAAGGAAUUGACGGGGGUC
rnacentral:rRNA from 1 species